UACGGGGGGAGCAAGCGUUGUCCGGAUUUAUUGGGCGUAAAGAGCUCGUAGGCGGUUUGUCACGUCGGAUGUGAAAACCCGAGGCUUAACCUCGGGCCUGCAUUCGAUACGGGCUGACUAGAGUUCGGUAGGGGAGACUGGAAUUCCUGGUGUAGCGGUGAAAUGCGCAGAUAUCAGGAGGAACACCAAUGGCGAAGGCAGCUCGCUGGGACGGUACUGACGCUGAGGCGCGAAAGCGUGGGGAGCAAACAGG
rnacentral:rRNA from 1 species